rnacentral:rRNA from 1 species
GGAUCCGCCCCGGCGCCCUCGGGCCCGGAUCAGGCGCCCGCCGGAGACCCAAACUCUUGUAUUUCUUUAGUAUCUUCUGAGUAAACAAGCAAAUAAAUUAAAACUUUCAACAACGGAUCUCUUGGUUCUGGCAUCGAUGAAGAACGCAGCGAAAUGCGAUAAGUAAUGUGAAUUGCAGAAUUCCGUGAAUCAUCGAAUCUUUGAACGCACAUUGCGCCCGCCAGUAUUCUGGCGGGCAUGCCUGUUCGAGCGUCAUUUCAACCCUCAAGCCCCCGGGCUUGGUGUUGGGGCUCGGCCCGUCCCUCGUGGCGCGCCGUCCCCGAAAUCUAGUGGCGGUCACGCUGUACUCCUCUGCGUAGUAAUCUAACCUCGCAACGGGACAAAGCCUGGCCACGCCGUUAAACCCCCCACUUCUGAAGGUUGACCUCGGAUCAGGUAGGAAUACCCGCUGAACUUAAGC